CCUACGGGAGGCAGCAGUGGGGAAUAUUGCACAAUGGGGGAAACCCUGAUGCAGCGACGCCGCGUGAGUGAAGAAGUAAUUCGGUAUGUAAAGCUCUAUCAGCAGGGAAGAAAAUGACGGUACCUGAGUAAGAAGCCCCGGCUAACUACGGGCCAGCAGGCGCGGUAAUACGUAGGGGGCAAGCGUUAUCCGGAUUUACUGGGUGUAAAGGGAGCGUAGACGGCAGUGCAAGUCUGGAGUGAAAGGCGGGGGGUCAACCCCCGGAGGGCUGUGGAAACUGGACGGCUGGAGUGCAGGAGAGGUAAGUGGAAGUCGUAGUGUAGCGGUGAAAUGCGUAGAUAUUAGGAGGAACACCAGUGGCGAAGGCGGCUUACUGGACUGUAACUGACGUUGAGGCUCGAAAGCGUGGGGAGCAAACAGGAUUAGAUACCCGAGUAGUC
rnacentral:rRNA from 1 species